UUUUAAUAUAUCUAGUUUUUUAAGAAAUUAAUUUAAUUUAGAUAUUUUAUUUUUAAUAUUUUAAUUUUAUUAAUUUAUUAUAAUUAAAUAUUAAUAUUUUAAGGGAUGAGCUUUAAAAUAAAAUUUUAUAAAUAAUUUUAUUAAUUAAUAAUUGUAAGCUUAGAAUUAGUUAUCAAUAGAAAUUAUGUUUUAAUUUAUUUUUUUUUAAUAUUAUUUAAUAUUUAUUUUAUUUUUUUUUAUUAAAAUAUAGAUUUUAAUUUUAUAAAUUUAGUAAUAAUGAUAAAAUUAGUAAAUAUAGAAAUAAUAAUAAUAUAUCAAUAAUGAUUGGUUUUUAUAAUUAAUUCGGCAAAUUUUGUGUUCACCUGUUUAUCAAAAACAUGUCUUUUUUGAAUUUUAUAUAAAGUCUGACCUGCCCACUGAAUAAAUUUUAAAGGGCCGCAGUAUUUUGACUGUGCAAAGUGAGCAUAAUCAUUAGUCUUUUAAUUGAAGGCUGGUAUGAAUGGUUGGAUGAGAUACAAGCUGUGUCAUAAAAAUUAAAAUUUGAAUUUAACUUUUUAGUUAAAAGGCUAAAAUAAUUUUAAAAGACGAGAAGACCCUAUAGAGCUUUAUAUAAUAAAUAUUUAAAUUAUUAAGAUUUAUUAAAUUUAAUUUUUGUAUUAUAUUUUGUUGGGGUGACAAUAAAAUUUAUAAAACUUUUAUUUUUAUUUUACAUUUAUUUAUGUUUAAAUGAUCCAUUUUUAUUGAUUAUAAAUUUAAGUUACCUUAGGGAUAACAGCGUAAUUUUUUUUGAGAGUUCUUAUCGACAAAAAAGAUUGCGACCUCGAUGUUGGAUUAAGAGUAAUUUUGGGUGUAGCAGUUCAAAGUUUAAGUCUGUUCGACUUUUAGAAUCUUACAU
rnacentral:rRNA from 1 species